GUCUACGGCCAUGCCACCCUGAACAAGUCCGAUCCUGUCCGAUUUCGGAAGCUAAGCAGGGUCGGGCCUGGUUAGUACUUGGAUGGGAGACCACCUAGGAAGACCAGGUGCUGUAGGUG
rnacentral:rRNA from 1 species